rnacentral:rRNA from 1 species
CGCGGCCUAUCAGCUUGUUGGUGAGGUAAUGGCUCACCAAGGCGACGACGGGUAGCCGGCCUGAGAGGGCGACCGGCCACACUGGGACUGAGACACGGCCCAGACUCCUACGGGAGGCAGCAGUGGGGAAUAUUGCACAAUGGGCGAAAGCCUGAUGCAGCGACGCCGCGUGAGGGAUGACGGCCUUCGGGUUGUAAACCUCUUUCAGCAGGGAAGAAGCGAAAGUGACAGUACCUGCAGAAGAAGCGCCGGCUAACUACGUGCCAGCAGCCGCGGUAAUACGUAGGGCGCAAGCGUUGUCCGGAAUUAUUGGGCGUAAAGAGCUCGUAGGCGGCUUGUCACGUCGGGUGUGAAAGCCCGGGGCUUAACCCCGGGUCUGCAUUCGAUACGGGCUAGCUAGAGUGUGGUAGGGGAGAUCGGAAUUCCUGGUGUAGCGGUGAAAUGCGCAGAUAUCAGGAGGAACACCGGUGGCGAAGGCGGAUCUCUGGGCCAUUACUGACGCUGAGGAGCGAAAGCGUGGGGAGCGAACAGGAUUAGAUACCCUGGUAGUCCACGCCGUAAACGGUGGGAACUAGGUGUUGGCGACAUUCCACGUCGUCGGUGCCGCAGCUAACGCAUUAAGUUCCCCGCCUGGGGAGUACGG